CAGAGGGUCACAGUACAUAAGGCCAUCCUGGAUUGGCAGGGCAUAGAUUUACUUGGGGUGUAAAGUACAAUCCCUAAUGAGUUACAAGAGAAACAUAACAAAAGGUGAGAUAGCAAUUUGCUCCAUGCCCAGGAACUAUUGCCUAUAGAGUUUUCUGAGAGAGUUAUCCAACAGAGAAGAAAUCAGAGCUGGCCAGGGAAGGAAGCCAGUCCCUCCUGAGGAGGGCCACUGCAGGAAACAAAUAAUAAGCCAGCAUUCUAGUUCGAGAUGGAAGAAGGUCAGCUGGUUGAAGAUAAGUUUGCAGAAUGACGGUGAAAAUUCAACUAGGCAGAAUCCUGAGGAGUUCUUCGAGUGUGAGCUUGCGUGGCUGCCGGCAGACAUUACUGCAGCUCCGUCAGUCCAGCUUGACUGAAUGUCAGUUUGACUUCUGCUUCCUGUUUUGGAUACUGAGCCCUUAUCUGCUUCUCACCCUGCCCUUGCCUCUGCCUUUGAAUCUGUCCAUUUAUCUAUUCUUGGGGUGAUGGCACCAAAAUGAUUGUGGGAAUCUGUCCCAAAUCUGCAAUAUUUUGUAUAACAGAUUUAAUAAAUAUGGUAAAUCAGUCACUUGGAAAAUUAAAAACAAAGCCAAUUGCUCA